AACGCAGACGUGGUCGACGCGGGUAAAAGUGUCGUAUCUGUUCUUAUCAGCUUAAUAUCUGAUCAGGUUGUACUUGGACCAAAUAUUUUAAACUUAUUUUUGCAAGUUGGCGGAGUGCUUAACGCCUGCUUCACCUCCGCCGCGGAUCAGCCUGGUAUUGCACUAUCUUCGGGAUCGGCCCACGUAAA